AUUGAACGCUGGCGGAAUGCUUUACACAUGCAAGUCGAGCGGCAGCGCGGGGGCAACCCUGGCGGCGAGCGGCGAACGGGUGAGUAACACAUCGGAACGUACCCAGUAGUGGGGGAUAACUAACCGAAAGGGUAGCUAAUACCGCAUACGCCCUGAGGGGGAAAGUGGGGGAUCGCAAGACCUCACGUUAUUGGAGCGGCCGAUGUCGGAUUAGGUAGUUGGUGAGGUAAAGGCUCACCAAGGCGACGAUCCGUGGCGGGUCUGAGAGGACGGCCCGCCACACUGGAACUGAGACACGGUUCAGACUCCUACGGGAGGCAGCAGUGGGGAAUUUUGGACAAUGGGGGCAACCCUGAUCCAGCCAUUCCGCGUGAGUGAAGAAGGCCUUCGGGUUGUAAAGCUCUUUCGGCAGGAACGAAACGGUCUAGGUAAAUACCCUGGGCUAAUGACGGUACCUGAAGAAGAAGCACCGGCUAACUACGUGCCAGCCGCCGCAGUAAGAC
rnacentral:rRNA from 1 species